rnacentral:rRNA from 1 species
CGAGCGAAGCACUUUUGCAGAUUUCUUCGGAUUGAAGCAAUUGUGACUGAGCGGCGGACGGGUGAGUAACGCGUGGGUAACCUGCCUCAUACAGGGGGAUAACAGUUGGAAACGGCUGCUAAUACCGCAUAAGCGCACAGUACCGCAUGGUACCGUGUGAAAAACUCCGGUGGUAUGAGAUGGACCCGCGUCUGAUUAGCUAGUUGGUGGGGUAACGGCCUACCAAGGCGACGAUCAGUAGCCGACCUGAGAGGGUGACCGGCCACAUUGGGACUGAGACACGGCCCAAACUCCUACGGGAGGCAGCAGUGGGGAAUAUUGCACAAUGGGGGAAACCCUGAUGCAGCGACGCCGCGUGAGCGAUGAAGUAUUUCGGUAUGUAAAGCUCUAUCAGCAGGGAAGAAAAUGACGGUACCUGACUAAGAAGCCCCGGCUAACUACGUGCCAGCAGCCGCGGUAAUACGUAGGGGGCAAGCGUUAUCCGGAUUUACUGGGUGUAAAGGGAGCGUAGACGGCAUGGCAAGCCAGAUGUGAAAGCCCGGGGCUCAACCCCGGGACUGCAUUUGGAACUGUCAGGCUAGAGUGUCGGAGAGGAAAGCGGAAUUCCUAGUGUAGCGGUGAAAUGCGUAGAUAUUAGGAGGAACACCAGUGGCGAAGGCGGCUUUCUGGACGAUGACU